AAUACGUAGGGAGCAAGCGUUGUUCGGAUUUACUGGGCGUAAAGGGCGCGUAGGCGGCGCGGUAAGUCACUUGUGAAAUCUCUGAGCUUAACUCAGAACGGCCAAGUGAUACUGCAGUGCUAGAGUGCAGAAGGGGCAAUCGGAAUUCUUGGUGUAGCGGUGAAAUGCGUAGAUAUCAAGAGGAACACCUGAGGUGAAGACGGGUUGCUAGGCUGACACUGACGCUGAGGCGCGAAAGCCAGGGGAGCAAACGG
rnacentral:rRNA from 1 species